rnacentral:rRNA from 1 species
CAAUCAAACCGGGAGAUAGCUGGUUCUCCCCGAAAGCUAUUUAGGUAGCGCCUCGUGAAUUCAUCUCCGGGGGUAGAGCACUGUUUCGGCUAGGGGGCCAUCCCGGCUUACCAACCCGAUGCAAACUGCGAAUACCGGAGAAUGUUAUCACGGGAGACACACGGCGGGUGCUAACGUCCGUCGUGAAGAGGGAAACAACCCAGACCGCCAGCUAAGGUCCCAAAGUCAUGGUUAAGUGGGAAACGAUGUGGGAAGGCCCAGACAGCCAGGAUGUUGGCUUAGAAGCAGCCAUCAUUUAAAGAAAGCGUAAUAGCUCACUGGUCGAGUCGGCCUGCGCGGAAGAUGUAACGGGGCUAAACCAUGCACCGAAGCUGCGGCAGCGAACGUAUCACCCAAGACAACUUUACGGAGUUGACGAUUGACGGAGCGAAGCGACGUCAAAGCGUUCAUUAAAGUCGAGUUGGCUUAGGGAUACGUUCGUUGGGUAGGGGAGCGUUCUGUAAGCCUGUGAAGGUGUGUCGUGAGGCAUGCUGGAGGUAUCAGAAGUGCGAAUGCUGACAUAAGUAACGAUAAAGCGGGUGAAAAG